rnacentral:tRNA from 1 species
GGGCCCAUACCCCAAAAAUGAAGGAUUAUUCCAUCCACCCCUAA